rnacentral:rRNA from 1 species
UACGUAGGGGGCUAGCGUUGUCCGGAUUUAUUGGGCGUAAAGAGCGUGUAGGCGGCCAGGUAGGUCCGUUGUGAAAACUCGAGGCUCAACCUCGAGACGUCGGCGGAAACCCUCUGGCUAGAGUCCGGAAGAGGAGAGUGGAAUUCCCGGUGUAGCGGUGAAAUGCGCAGAUAUCAGGAGGAACACCGGUGGCGAAGGCGGGUCUCUGGGCCGUAACUGACGCUGGAGGAGCGAAAGCGUGGGGAGCGAACAGG